rnacentral:rRNA from 1 species
GACGAACGCUGGCGGCGUGCCUAAUACAUGCAAGUAGAACGCACAGUUUAUACCGUAGCUUGCUACACCAUAGACUGUGAGUUGCGAACGGGUGAGUAACGCGUAGGUAACCUGCCUGGUAGCGGGGGAUAACUAUUGGAAACGAUAGCUAAUACCGCAUAAUAUUGAUUAUUGCAUGAUAAUUAAUUGAAAGGUGCAAUUGCACCACUACCAGAUGGACCUGCGUUGUAUUAGCUAGUAGGUGAGGUAACGGCUCACCUAGGCGACGAUACAUAGCCGACCGGAGAGGGUGAUCGGCCACACUGGGACUGAGACACGGCCCAGACUCCUACGGGAGGCAGCAGUAGGGAAUCUUCGGCAAUGGACGAGAGUCUGACCGAGCAACGCCGCGGGAGGGAAGAAGGUUUUCGGAUCGUAAAGCUCUGUUGUAAGAGAAGAGCGGGUGUGAGAGUGGAAAGUUCACACUGUGACGGUAUCUUACCAGAAAGGGACGGCUAACUACGUG